UUUAAGGAGUCUCACUCUGUUGCCCAGGCUGGAGUGCAGUGGUGUGAUCUUGGCUCACUGCAACCUCUGCCUCCCGGGUUCAAGCAAUUCUCUCUGCCUCAGCCUCCAAAGUAGCUGGGAUUACAGGCACUGGGGAAACUCUUUUUCUCCUUACUCCUGGAGAUUCUGAUUUCAUUGUGCGACCUGAUGGGGAGUUGCCAGGAGAAGGACUGCGUCGGCCUUUGGAAGCUGGUGAAGCCGCACUUGCCUGGGCCUCUCCUGGAGACUCAGCUGCUAAGUGAUUCAUUUCAGAUCCAUCUCCUUUAACUGGGAUUGGUUUUACCACCUGAAUCAAAGUAUUCCGAUAUUUUGAUUACUUAAAAAUAUAAAAGGCUUUCAGACCUAAUCUAGCCAUGACCAAAGGCCAAACUCCGCAGCCUUGUACAACUGAAGCUCAGCAGACCUUUCUGGACUUUCUCCCACUGCUCCUGUUCUACAGCCAGUUGCUGUGUUCACCAAACUUGCCUGACCCUUCCUCCUCCUGUGCUUUCACUCACUCUCCUCCUAAUUUAAUACUCAUCUCCAGCCUGCAGCACCCCAGGCAGUACACCUUCACAUGAGGAAAACACCCAUCUUUCUAGGCUCAGUUAAAAUUCUUCCUUUUAUGAAACUUCCCUGAAGUCUACCAGCAUGACAUUCUUUCUCUUUCCUAAGUCCCUAUUGCUCUUCUGCCCAUCCCACACAUUUGGCACCUAGUCACAAGUUGCUUUGUGAUAUUUCAUGUAUUACUCUAUUUACUAUGUAUAAGUCUAAUUUUCCCAUCUGGAGAUAUUUACACUUUAUGUUUCAAGAAUGAUUUGACACAACUUACUUAAAGUAUAAAAACAAACAAAAUCAGACCUCCCAAGUAAACAGUAAACUUCUUAAGGAUAAUAUGAAAUCUGUAAACCAUAAAAUGUAGGGUGGCAUAAUUAAGCUCAAGGACUAUGUGUUAUGCAUCUUAUUCCACACAUCUCCUCCCUCUUCACUCAUGUCUUAUAUACAGACGAGGUACUUUGGUACUUGCUAGAAAGUGAACAGUAUAAAAACCAAAAUUUUGUCUUAGAGAACUGGAUAUUCUUAGUUCAUGUGUAAUAAAGAACAAAUGGCUGGCUCGUUUUUAAAAAGUUGUGAUUUAUGCCCUAUGGUAUUCUCAAAAG